AAAAAAAAGACAUCAGACGGCUUUUCUCCUUCGCUCCAUCGUGAACCACGCAUACGGUUUUCUCCUCCGCAAUAUUGCAACAUCUUUUCUCCUCCACUCCUCUUUCACCAUGGAAACAACGUUCUCCUUUGCUCCCUCUAUCACAAAACAACCAAGCUGAUACCCAGAGCCCACCUCCUCUCCCGUCGUGGGAACAAUGUUGUCCUCCGCUCCAUUGCGAACCAAGCAGGCCAAACGAUACCCCUAGUCGAGCCUCCUCUCCUGCCGUGGGAACAACGGCACCGUCGAAUGUGAGAUACCCAUCCCCCAUACCCAUUUAGAUGAUGCAUAUAGAAAGACAAUGUAAUCUCUACGAAGCUAAGUUUCGAAAGAUGGAGUUUGGUUCAAAGUGCUACCUAGCCAACCUAUCUCUUUAUCCUGGGAAGUCUAAACUGCCAUUUCUGCCUUCAAAUGCAUAGGUAUCAUGCAUGAACUAAAGUUGAAUUUUCUUGGCAAGUGCAAGGUUUUAAAAAUGCAACUUUCAAAGAGAAACUUACACCAGCCUCACUUUGUUGGCGAUAAUUCUACAGCCACUUGGAAAGAAAGGAAUUGCACUUGGUUCUGGGAACACAAUUAGGAGUUCUACAACUUCUGGUCAAGUGCUUCUCUCUUAGAUUACUAAUUUUAAACUCUGGUAGUCAAAUUCGGGCACCCCUUGUGCACUCCCGCUGACUUGGCAAGUAGUUUUGUAAAUUACCAUAUAUUUCUGUGCUGAAGUAAGGAUGGCUCUUGUUUCCCUCUCAAUGCAAGAACAAAGAAGCAACGCAGAAUGCAACCCAGCCCCUUUGAUCUCCGCCAUCAGCACGUCUCCACCACUAGCACUUCUGGGCAUGGCUCUCUCACCACCGAGACGUCUGGGCAAGGCUCUGUCGCCACCAGCAUGUCUGGACAUCGGAUUCGGGUUUCACAUUCUGCAAAACGAGGCCUUCAACGAUCUCUUGUGCACCCUCGGUGGAGACAACCUUGGAAAAGCUGAUAAAUCAUCAUCCAAGAAAUUUGACCAAAUAAUUCAUGGGUAGUGGUUAAUGUUGAAGAUAUGGUCAAGGAGUUUCAAAGGUGUUAGCAAGACCCUUUUGCCCACAAUUCUCAACACCUCAUACCACAAGUCCAACAAUGCAGGUAUAACAUUAGAGGAGAUGAAGUAGUGUUUAAUGUUUAAGUCUUUAGCACAUUAUCAUUAUUCCUUUAUGUUUUAGGUGAUACCAAGACCAUGGUAUCCGAAUUUACCAACACCUCCUACCACUCAUCCAUCAACCAAUACAGUGUUGUAGGUAUUUUGAAUUUUAAUUUUAAACUAUUAAACUAUUAUUUUAAUGACUAUAUUGAUUUUUGUUUUUCUGCACAUUAUCACUACCACUUUAUAUGUUAGGUGAUACCUGUUUUAUGUGUUAGGUGAUGCCAACACUAUUUUAUCCAGACAUCCAAAACUAUAUGGAUGGUUUACAUGCACAAAUGUCAUAUGCAUGGUUACCAUCAUUUGUUUCUUGUCCGUAAUGUGCUAGAGAAGUACGUAUUGGAUCAAUGGAGGAAAGAUAUAAAAAAGAGAUACACUGUUAUGAAAAGUAAUUAUAACGUAGCUGAUGCAAGGCCAAAUGUGAGCAGAUAUGCACGUAUAAUCAAAAAGUGUUACAAUGUGGCAACAAAUGCAGCAUCAUGUGAUGACCAUGUUGAGGAUAUGGUUGCAAAGUUGUCUGCAAUGACGAGAUCUACCUUGCCAACAAGCUGUUGCAACAACCCAAAUCCAGGCCAGAAGUUGCCACUGCCAAUACAAGUACAAUUAAGAGUUCAAAGAAAGUACUUAGCCCUUGUGUUGUGCUAGAUAAAGGUAGGCCGCCAUCUCUCUGGAAAAAAUCAAUGAUUGAGAGAGUGCAUAAACCCAAUACGAAAAAGGCUGCUCGAAGGGAAAAACGUAAAUAGCCGCAUGGAAGAGAUAGCGAAGUUGUUGAUGCAGGAAUUUAUUUGGCCAAACAAUUGUUGGGAAUGAAGGGAGUGCUCCUUUUCAGUCGCCCCAAAACACUGUCGAAGUGUUGGAGUCUACUGGAACUCAGUUUGGCGUUGUGUGAUGGAGACUCAAGAAAGUGUAGUUAAUCUUGAUUUAUUCCGUCACUCUCUCUACUCUAUUUUUUUUUUCUAUUAUGUUCAUUUUUAACUAUUUACAUUACAUUCAUAGAUGCAACUUGGGAUAGAUAGAACCCAGCUAGAUAGCUUGCCUAGCUCCCAAAUGCAACUUUGAGUUUCAGAAUUGUUGUAUUGUGUUUAAUGUAAAAGCUACUCAAACUUGAGUUCAAUGUAAAUACUUGCUGGGUAGAAGCAACAAAGUUGAUUACCUGCAAGCUAGCCCAGACACCCACGGAUAUUAAAAAAGAAAAAGAAGAAGAGAAAUAACGAAGUUGACAUUUUUGUAAAGUGGUUGUUAUAUUAUGUUCAUUGUAUAUAACUUAUGUAUUUUGAGUUCCAGACCUAUUGUAUUUUGUUCAAUGUAUGUAUUAUAUGUUAAGUGUUCAAUGUA